GGCAGAGAUGCAGGCAACUUCAUCCACUGGAGACAGCCCCAGCGAGCGCUGCACCCCGCCCCCGGGUAGUAUUUGCAAGACACAGGAAGGGAGCAGCUGGGAGCGGUGGCUGCUGGGAAGAAGGAGGCAGGAGCCGGGAGAACAAAACCCAGGGGUGGGGGGCAGCUCCUGGGGGUGGGGUCUGGCACAGACCGAACUCUGCUGUUGCCUUGUGUGAUUCGGGAGCCCGGGCUGGUCAGCUGCUGCUCCCCGGGGUCUGUGCGGGGGAGAUCUCGUCAUUAAAGCUCCUUCCCUGCCACGCCGGGCGAGCUGGGACGUUCUCCAGGGGAGCCAGCCUCCUAGAGCCCCGGACUCUGUCACCAUCAGCUCCGGCGCCAGAGACUCCAGUUGCCCUUCUCGCCCUGCCAGGCUGCAGGAUGACGUCCAUGUUUUGCUCCACCUCAUCAUAUCCUCUCAUGGGACAGGAAAGAGAAAUGGCUGCAGUGGAGCCAGUUCAGACACCCCAUUUGACCCCCUUUAGACAAGAUUUGGGUGCCACUACAGGACCUUGGUUGC